ensembl:lncRNA
GAGAAGCUGGUCAGGGACUUCAUCUGCUCCGCACUACCCGACUCACUGGACCCUCUACAGUUCGCAUACCGCCACAACAGGUCCACUGAUGAUGCCAUAGCCCUGACACUCCAUGCUGCCCUGUCACACCUGGAGAAGAGAGACACGUAUGUGAGAAUGCUGUUUGUAGAUUACAGCUCAGCAUUCAACACCAUCGUUCCCUCGAAGCUGGACAGGAAACUGCAGGAUCUAGGACUGAGCAGCUCCCUCUGCAGCUGGAUCCUUAACUUCCUGUCUGACAGACGCCAAGUGGUCAGACUGGGCAGCACCACCUCAUCCCCCAUCACACUGAACACUGGUGCUCCACAGGGGUGUGUACUGAGCCCUCUCCUGUACUCACUCUACACCUACGACUGCACGGCCACUGACAACUCCAACAUCAUUGUGAAGUUUGCGGACGACACUACAGUGGUGGGUCUUAUCACCAACGGUGAUGAUGAGACGGCCUACAGGGAGGAGGUCAGCGCCCUGACCCACUGGUGUCAAGACAACCAUCUCACCCUCAACGUCGCAAAGACAAAGGAGUUGAUAGUGGACUUCCGGAGGUGCAGAGGAGUACACACCCCCAUCACCAUCAACGGCGCCGCUGUGGAGAGAGUGAGCAGCUUCCGCUUCCUUGGUGUACAUCUGGCUGAGGAUCUUACGUGGUCAGUACACAUAAACAAGACAGUGAAGAAGGCGCAGCAGCGCCUCUUCUUUCUCAGGAGACUGAAAAGAUUCGGCAUGAGCCCCGCAUCCUCAGGACCUUCUAUCGCUGUGCCAUUGAGAGCAUCCUCACUGGAUGCAUCACCACCUGGUAUGGCAACACCACCGCUUACAACCGCAAAGCUCUCCAGAGAGUAGUGCGGUGUGCUGAACGGAUAAUUGGAGGUGAGCUUCCCUCCCUCCAAGACAUCUACAGGAAGCGGUGCCUGAGGAAAGCGGGGAGGAUCAUCAAGGACUCCAGUCACCCCAGCCAUAAACUGUUCAGACUACUUCCAUCAGGAAGGAGGUUCUGCAGCAUCCGGUCCCGUACCAGCAGACUGAGAGACAGCUUUUUCCACCAGGCCAUCAGACUGCUGAACACGUCAUAGACACCUCACCCUCACUACUGGAACUUCAACAUUAUGCACUCCAUACUGUACAUUAAUGCCACUGUUUUGCACAUACC